rnacentral:lncRNA from 1 species
CAGCCAGUAGUAUUACUAAGUUUGAUAAACUUCACUUGUACUUCCAGUUUGCUUACUGAACCUCUUAAAAAAAAGGGUUGUUGAUUAUUAGACAUUUGGAUAUGUAGGCCCAUACAGGUACUCUUGCUAAUACAGAUGGAACUAUGUUACACUGCCAUAUCUUAGGUUGUCAUAUUUUCGUUAUUUGAUUAUCUACUUAUUAUUAUUUUUUAUAUAUAUCCUUUUAUAUCAUGUUAUUGGACUUGCCAUAUUGGAAAGAUGUGGUCGUGAAUUUGUUAUUGGGUUACUCUAUUGACAUUUGUCACUGAUAUCUUAAGUAUAUUAUAAUAAUUCAGAUCCUUUCUUUUCUCCACAGUAUAAUUCUGGAAUUAGUUGGAAUUUAGAGGUAUAUAUUAUGAAUUCUUAAGUCUUUCAUAUUUCUUCUUAGACACUAGUCUGUUGAUGCUCAAAGUAGGUGAAUACGUGGGUUCGAAGUUCAGCAGUUGGCCAUUGCUAUCCGAUUUCGCAAUCUAUGUCUUUCAUUGCAGAGUAGACAGAUGUUUAUCUAUCAUAAUAUUUCUGGUAAGGGAAUGUCUGCAGCAUGUCCGAACCACUCUUGUGUAAUUAGUCCAAAUAUUCCAGGUAUACUUCCACAUGAGUUUGUUUAUUUUAUGUCUCUUGGUUAAUAGUAUAUUGAUGCUUGGACUCUCCCGAUACUUAGAGUCAUGAAUGUUAGUAAUUCACCUGCUUGGACAAAUGAUUGAUUUUUUUUUUGUAUAUCACCACUUCUAAACUUUGGCAUCAGUCGUUGCUUAGAUUCAGGAGUAUUUCCUGGAUAAUUCUAUGUAUGCGAGAAUGCAUGAAUCUGCAGUUUUAUUCAAAAUUGGUAGCUCGUUCUCGUCAUAUUUUUUUUCGAUCAUGGAGUCAUAGAACUUAUAAGUUCAUCCUUUAGUGCAAUUAUUUAGUUCAGAUAGGCUCACAUUACCGGAUGAGGGUAGAUGUAGAGCUAAUUUAGUUUAUUUACUUAGUAUUAGUGAGAAUUGGUCCAUAAAUCUUCCUGAUCGUUCUUCUUUGGAUAUGCUUUUGUGAAUCUGGUGUCCAUUGAUAGUCCGAUUUUGGAUGGAGUGUCCGAUUCUUCACUUAUUUAUUUAUAUGAUUUAGUAUUGAUGUGAAUUGGUCCAUAAAUCUUCCUGGUCGUUCUUCAUUGGAUAUGCUUUUGUGAAUCUGGUGUCCAUUGAUAGUCCGACUUUGGAUUGAGUGUCUGAUUCCACAUUUAUUUUGGUUAAUGUGUUUGCAUUCCUUUGGUAUGUUCACUAUUUAUAUUAUUUGGUAUUGGUGAAAAUUGUUCCAUAAAUAUUCCUGAUUGUUCUUCUCUGGAUAUGCUAUUACGAAUCUGGUGUCCAUUGCUAGUUCAAUUUAGGAUUGAGUGUUCGAUUCUUCACUUAUUAUAGUUAUUGAUUUCAUUGGUGACUUUAGUAUAUUUACUUGCGUUAUGGUAUGAAUUGGCUCCCACCUUUGCCUGGUUGUUCGUCCUUGGAUAUAUCCCUUAUAAAUCUGAUGUCCUUGGAUAGUUCAACUUUGGAUUUGGUGCCAAUUCGACACUUAUUUGUCAUUACAAAUUAUGUCUCAUCUUUAGGUUGUUUGGCUUUUAAGAAAAAAAAAACCAGUCACUUUUACUAGGACUUCGGGUCACAUUUUGCAAUUUCUGUUAUUUGCUGCAGUGACCAUCCUACUUUCUCUUGAUUAUUAGUUGUGAUUAUUUGUAAUCUUGCGAAUCAACCGGGAAUGAUACACUAAGCACUACUACUCUAGUUUAAUAUUUGAAAAAAAAAAAAAUUUUAAAUAAAUUUUUUUUUUUCUCGUGGUUAAAAGGGAAUGUGACGUUCCGCCCCUUAUAGAAUCGAUUAUUGAUGGGAAGAUAUUAUUAAUUAUCGAAAAUAUUAUUUAAUUAUUCUCAGAAUUAUUUUCUUUCAAUGUUUAUUACAAUACAACUAAAACCCAUCACAUAAUUUUAAAAUGCUUGCUGACGUCACAUUUAAAACGUGGCAACAUUGGUUUCCCCACUUUGACAGCUAGGGAUUUUGAGAAUUGCCACGAGGUUCUUGGGCCGUUGAACUGAACACGCCAUUGUGCUUUGAGGAGUGAGUCUACGUAGAUGCGGGGUUAUUGAACUAAGAUUUACCUAUAAUUCUAAGUUCCAAAGUUAUUAAAUAGUUAUAUUGUAGUCAUCCAGGAUCAGUGAACAGUGAAUUUGAAGAAUUGUACCGCAUAAUGGAGUUCCACCCCGCAUCUACUAUGAAAUCUUAAAAAACAAAAACCACCUAACACCACCAGGGACAGACCACUCCUCGAGCAACAAUCACUGGACAACCAGCCUAGAUCAUUUCCAGUUGUUCUUCCUUUAAGUACCUCCAGCUGUUUCCACCAGCCUUCCUGUACCUCCAGCAGGACCGCUGCAAGCGAAAGUUAGCACCACUGGGUGCUCAUUACAUCAGCCAGACGAUUUUGUAAAAGGGGUUUGUUUGGGGACAUUUGGUGCGUUUUUAGUAAAGACAGACUGUUUUUUGUGAUAUUCAGGACAUAUUUUUUUUUAUAGUUUAAUUGCACACAAAUUUUUCCUGCUUUAUAUUUUUAUAGUAUUUUUUUUAACAUAAUAUUUAAUUGAUAGCGUUCCCCAUACUGCAUAAUCCCUAAGGUAAAGAUCUCUGAGCUCAGAUAUUUUCCCCUGCAAAAGUUGUUGGUACUCUUAUUUUGAUUAUAUUUAUGCGGGUUUCUAUUUCUAUAUAACUAUUUAAACUUAUUUCAUUAUUUUAGUCUACUUUAAAUUAAAUUCUUCAAAUUAACUUCAAAUAUUAUUCAAAAUUUCAAUUAUUAACUUUAUUUAACUUUAACUUAUUAAAUUCAUAUACACUUCUGGGCUCUAUUCCCUCAGAAUAGAGUUUGGUUUCACUUGUUGAGUCAUUAUUGUAAACUACGAGUUAUAAAAAGGAUCUGUUAUAUCCAACCGUAGAUUUAUUUAUUAGGUAAAGGCUUGUGCCUGUCUAACUCACCUUGAGUUACUUAUAUAUUAUUUAUCGUAUCAGGUAAUAUUUAAUUAAGGUCUACGUAUUAUAAACGUACAAUUAUUAUUUGGUGAAGGUUCUACUAACCUAGGUGUAAGUUGUACUUUCUGUAUUAGAGGUACCCUUAUUCAGAUUUUCUAACCUUAUUAAGAUUAUUCUUAGAUCACAUUUGUGUGAUAAUUUUGUAAUUGACUUUCACUAGUAUCAUUUUUUUGUCAUGUUAGAGUCACAGACUAGUUACUUGUCUUAACUCGGAGAUUGUGAACAUCUAGUAGUUAAAUUUAAUAAAUAUAUAUUUAUUGUG